UAUCUGAUUUUCAAGACUUGCUUUCUGGUACCUUUAACACCUGUAGCUCCCAGCCUGGCUCAGUUUACUUCUAGGUUCAGCUGCCUGCCAAGACACCAGGUGACAGUCGGGGCUCUCCAAAGCCGCUCCCACCAUUGUCUACAGCUGUGGGGCCCAAGAAACCCCACACGUGAGAUGCGCAGUCUGAUAUGGCCGGUUCUGCCCCUCUGGGUUUUAUAUCUUUUCAAAGUGGUUCAUUUGAAAGCUGUGGCUGUUGUCAGCUGGGUGCUGAGAGCACUGGACAAAUUCCCUGCCUGGGUUGUGUAGACAGUGUGGGGAAUGGGGGACCCCUGGACCCUGACAGUCUCACCAGGCCUAAUGAGAUGAAUGUCCGUCAGACCUGUGCUGAUGCAGCUACUUUCCCUGUGAAUUUGACCAUCGAAAUUCUUCCUACAUUUCAAUUCCCCCAAUUCUAAAAUGAGGAGGCUGUGCUAGAUACCAUCUCAGAGCUCUUCCAGCUAUAAAUUGCAAACCAAUCAGGUAUUAAUCAAUUCACUCAUCCACUCUUUAUUACAUGUACCCUGAUCUGCAGAAGACAUUCUUGUGUAUAACAUUCUUGAGUUUGAUUUGUUCUUUUUAAAAAUAUGGAAUUUUCAUUUAAUUCCAAAUGUCUUUUUUCUUUUUGUUGUUGUUGUACAAUUUACUCGCAACCAAAGAAGAAAUAAAGAUAUUUUGGAGAGUUAAAAUUAUUUCUUAGCUUUAAAUAGGUGUGUGCUUUCCACAGUGACUGACAUUUCACCUGUAUUUUGAGAUAUUUGGAAAUCUUUACCUGUUUCCCCAAGGGUCAUGGAUAGCCUUGGGCUUGACUUGGUUUAGAUUCUCAGACACUGUGGUUUGGCUUGGGCUGGGGCUGGGCCCAGCCUCUCAAGGCUUUGAUUAAUCCACUGCACCUCUCAUUUUCCUGACUAUAAAAGAGAAGCUACAGUUCUGAAUAAGCAUCUUGCAGAAGAAAGAAGCCAAAGCAGAAAGUAUUAAACUUUCAUCCAGCACCGUAGGAGAGAUGUAGUUAUUAAAUUUCAGCUGCUUAUCACACUGA